ensembl:snoRNA small nucleolar RNA SNORA2/SNORA34 family
UUCGCCCUGAAUUAAGGCCAGCAGUUUGCUGAAGCUUUUGGUUUUAAGCAGGAGCGUAAAGUUCCUGUGGUCUGUUGGCCAUUUCAGAACUUUAUGCAUGAAAUGGUUAAUUCAUUAGAAAGAAACAUCU